rnacentral:lncRNA from 1 species
GGGGAGGGUGAGCCAAGAGGGACGUGGCGCUCUGCGGCGCGGACUAGGAAGCCGCGCCCCUUCCUUCUCGGGCUUUCAUGGAGAAUCCUGUGGAGCAGGAUUUGGAACUAAGACAUCUGCUCCACACCCAUCAUUUUAAAGAUGGGGGAACUGAUCCUCAAAGAUACUCGUGGCUCGAGGAUUAGAGAAACUUUUGGAGCCUCAAGGCUGGUUUCGACUGAGUCUGCUAAGUAAUGGCAUCUUUCUCUGAAGCUGUUUUCUUGCUUGUAAAAAUGGUGUUUAUCUCAGAGUUGUUAGUGACGCUUAGAUAAGAUUCCAGAAAACCAGUAUAGAACCUGCUGCAUAUGUUAGUAAUGUUAGCUGCUUUUUAUCGGGAAAUAAUACAGGAUAGUAGCUAAAUCACCUAUUUGGAGCCCAACUGCCCACGUGAAACCAAUUCCUUGACUCGCUUAAGCGCUGUGUGCCUCACUUUCCUUGUCUGUGAAAUGAGAAUAAUAAUAGUAUCCUCCUCUUUACAGCAUAAGUAAAUAGAAGAGUGACAGGCACAUAGUAAGUGUUCUAUAAAUGUUAGUACUUCUCAUGUUAGUGGCUGAGCCAGGGCUGCAAUUCAGCUCUCUAGAUUCCAAGACCGGCGAUCUCUACUCUUACACAACUCUCAUCUGUACAUGAAGAACAGUGCCUAGAAAUUCAGCUUUUUUUAAGGUUCAGGAGGAAGUGCUUGUGCCUUUUCUUCAAAUCUCAAACUAUCUCCCUUACUGUCAUGAAAGUCCUAGUAUGUUGUGACUGCCUCCACUGAAGGUUUAAUAGCAGAGGCAAAUGCAAGGAAAAUAAUCAUAGUUUUGAUGGAGAUAUUGAAGAAUGAAAGCACUAGAAUAAGAAAGGAUGUUCAAAAAGUUAUGGUGUAGGAACACUAAAUCUCUAUCUGAAAAAUAUAAAUACUAAUGUGAAGGUAUUGGUAAUAUUAAUAUGUCAUUAGUAACCAAUGUUAGUGUUAGAUUAGGAGACAAGCCACAUCCCGUCUCUGUGGAAAAUACUAAAUUGUAAAUACAUCAAAAGCAGGAAGUAUCUUCCACAUUUUUAUUACCCAUUAUCUACCACAGGGCCAAACACACUGUGCUUGAUCUAAGCCCUGAC